AGCAGCCGCGGUAAUUCCAGCUCCAAUAGCGUAUAUUAAAGUUGCUGCAGUUAAAAAGCUCGUAGUUGAAUUUCGGGAUCAAUAUGCCGGUCGUGCCUCGGUACGUACUGGCAUCGUUGGUUUCUCCCUUCUGACGAACCAUGAUGUCAUUUAUUUGGUGUCGUGGGGAAUCAGGACUGUUACUUUGAAAAAAUUAGAGUGUUUAAAGCAGGCUCACGCUUGAAUACAUUAGCAUGGAAUAAUGAAAUAGGACGUUUGAUUCUAUUUUGUUGGUUUCUAGGAUCGACGUAAUGAUUAAUAGGGAUAGUUGGGGGCAUUAGUAUUCAAUUGUCAGAGGUGAAAUUCUUGGAUUUAUUGAAGACUAACUACUGCGAAAGCAUUUGCCAAGGAUGUUUUCAUUAAUCAAGAACGAAAGUUAGGGGAUCGAAGACGAUCAGAUACCGUCGUAGUCUUAACCAUAAACUAUGCCGACUAGGGAUCGGACGAAGUUAAUUUUAUAAUGACGCGUUCGGCACCUUAA
rnacentral:rRNA from 1 species